CCUACGGGAGGCUGCAGUGGGGAAUAUUGCGCAAUGGGCGAAAGCCUGACGCAGCGACGCCGCGUGAGGGAUGAAGGUCUUCGGAUCGUAAACCUCUGUCAGCAGGGAAGAACGGUCACUGUGCUAAUCAGCAGUGAAUUGACGGUACCUGCAAAGGAAGCACCGGCUAACUCCGUGCCAGCAGCCGCGGUAAUACGGAGGGUGCAAGCGUUAAUCGGAAUUACGGGGCGUAAAGGGCUCGUAGGCGGUAUGUCAAGUCAAGGGUGAAAUCCCCGCGCUCAACGUGGGAACUGCCUUUGAAACUGGCAAACUGGAGUGUGUGAGAGGAUAGUGGAAUUCCAGGUGUAGGAGUGAAAUCCGUAGAUAUCUGGAGGAACAUCAGGGGCGAAGGCGACUAUCUGGCACAUAACUGACGCUGAGGAGCGAAAGCGUGGGUAGCAAACAGGAUUAGAUACCCGGGUAGUC
rnacentral:rRNA from 1 species